UACGUAGGUGGCAAGCGUUGUCCGGAAUUAUUGGGCGUAAAGCGCGCGCAGGCGGUCUCUUAAGUCUGAUGUGAAAGCCCCCGGCUCAACCGGGGAGGGUCAUUGGAAACUGGGAGACUUGAGUGCAGAAGAGAAGAGUGGAAUUCCACGUGUAGCGGUGAAAUGCGUAGAGAUGUGGAGGAACACCAGUGGCGAAGGCGACUCUUUGGUCUGUAACUGACGCUGAGGCGCGAAAGCGUGGGGAGCAAACAGGG
rnacentral:rRNA from 1 species